rnacentral:rRNA from 1 species
UACGUAGGGGGCAAGCGUUAUCCGGAUUUACUGGGUGUAAAGGGGGCGCAGACGGCGACGCAAGCCAGGAGUGAAAGCCCAGGGCCCAACCCCGGGACUGCUCUUGGAACUGCGUGGCUGGAGUGCAGGAGGGGCAGGCGGAAUUCCUGGUGUAGCGGUGAAAUGCGUAGAUAUCAGGAGGAACACCGGUGGCGAAGGCGGCCUGCUGGACUGCAACUGACGUUGAGGCCCGAAAGCGUGGGGAGCAAACAGG